AAAGUCAAAUAGCACGUGAAAUUGUUGAAAGGGAAACGAUUGAAGUCAGUCGUACCGACGGGUAAUCAGCCUUUUGGGUGCGAUUAUGUGGUAUGUGGAAAGAUUUCACGAUCACAUAUUUGUGCCUUUUGGGUGUAUUUUCUCGUAUGGUAGGUUAACAUCAAUUUUGGUCAUCAUAAAAUGACGGGAGGAAUGUAGCUUCCCCGGAAGUGUUAUAGCCUCUGGUAGAUGUGAUGAUCGGGAUUGAGGAUUGCAACGAAUGCCUCUGGCUACCUGUCUGAUCUCUGGUUGUCGCUUUGGUGCUGAAAGCGUGCUUAUGGUAUCAAAGUGGGUGGCCAAAAGGUUAGAACGGGAUAAAUUCGUUAAGGAUGUUGACGUAAUGGCUUUAAACGA
rnacentral:misc_RNA from 1 species